rnacentral:rRNA from 1 species
UACGAAGGGUGCAAGCGUUACUCGGAAUUACUGGGCGUAAAGCGUGCGUAGGUGGUUGUUUAAGUCCGUUGUGAAAGCCCCCGGCUCAACUGGGGAGGGUCAUUCGAUACUGAUCGACUUGAAGGCAGGAGAGGGAAGUGGAAUUCCGGGUGUAGUGGUGAAAUGCGUAGAUAUCCGGAGGAACACCAGUGGCGAAGGCGACUUCCUGGCCUGUUCUUGACGCUGAGGCGCGAAAGCUGGGGGAGCAAACGGG